GUGCUUAAAGAAUGGCUGUCCGUAGUAUGGUCUCUAUAUUUGAAGAUGAUUCAUAUCGGACAACCAUUGUUUUAGUAUCC
rnacentral:pre_miRNA from 1 species